UCCCUCCCCCCUCUGCGGGGGAGGGUGACCCCCGAAGGGGGUCGGGAGAGGGGAGCGCCGCUUCCGCUGGUCCGACGCCGGCAGAAAGGGGC
rnacentral:tRNA from 1 species